UCAUAAAAAUCGUAGUAAUUAAUCAUAAUGGGCUACCCAUUCUUGACUUUUAACAUCUUUUGGCUUGUUUAGUCUUCACACCGCCCUUUCCUGAAAGAUCAGAAAACUGAAUCACUGAGCAGUGAACUUGAACUGUGGCUGUGGCCUGGACUCGGCAUUCAAACACAACACACUGACCUCUGGUUGUAGAGAUGUCUUGAAGAUGCUGAAGAAUAAACACAGAAUUCACGGAAUGGAAGAAACUGUUUCACCAUAUACAAUGAUUUGGGGUACCA